rnacentral:lncRNA from 10 species
CCUGCCUCGGCCUCCCAAAGUGCUGGGAUUAUAGGCCUGUUUUUCUCUUUUCAGAAAUCCUGCCUUUGUUCCCUAGAAGCCUGCUCUCUAAGGACUCUAAGGAAGCAUUCUUGCUGGAGUCAUCUGGAGCCACCUAUCUAUGCCACUCUGCCCCAUGGGGCCCUACAUGGAGACUGAAAAGAAAACAAACAAACAAAACCCAACAAGCUGCUCUGCAACCACAAUACUCACUGCUACGUGUGUAUCCAGCUUGUUCUUGGACAGGUAAAGGCUUUGCACUGGACACCCAAAACAUACCACCUGGGGCCUGCUUGGAUCAAUCCUGGUACCUGGACCACUUCCAGAGCCGAGGUCCUAUUUGCAGUCCAGUAGUUGGGCAUUGCACACUGCUGUAUACAACAGCUGCUUCACACAGGACUGCAGAACUGAACUGCCCUCAUGUUGCUUCACCUUCUGUCUUCUUCACUGUGCACUGGCUUAAGAAAAUAGCAGAGCUUUCUCCAAUUCUCCACCAAGCUGACUCAACAUAAAGCAAAGUUUCAAAAGGUUUGAAAGGUGAGUGGCAGCAGCUUCCUAUAGCAGUUUGGGUGGUCCCACCAGGGCCCAUCAAACUUACCUUACCUACCUUUCUUUAUCUCCACCCACCCUGGUGCCUUUCUACCUUGAGUUGCUGGAAAUGCCUUCAGAGCCCCCACAUAGGAA